AUUGAACGCUGGCAGCAGGCUUAACACAUGCAAGUCGAGCGGGGAAUGGUAGCUUGCUACCUGACCUAGCGGCGGACGGGUGAGUAAUGCUUAGGAAUCUGCCUAUUAGUGGGGGACAACAUUCCGAAAGGAAUGCUAAUACCGCAUACGCCCUACGGGGGAAAGCAGGGGAUCUUCGGACCUUGCGCUAAUAGAUGAGCCUAAGUCAGAUUAGCUAGUUGGUGGGGUAAAGGCCUACCGAGGCGACGAUCUGUAGCGGGUAUGCGAGGAUGAUCCGCCACCCUGGGACUGAGACCCGGCCCAGACUCCUACGGGAGGCAGCAGUGGGGAAUAUUGGACAAUGGGCGCAAGCCUGAUCCAGCCAUGCCGCGUGUGUGAAGAAGGCCUUUUGGUUGUAAAGCACUUUAAGCGAGGAGGAGGCUACUGAGAUUAAUACUCUUGGAUAGUGGACGUUACUCGCAGAAUAAGCACCGGCUAACUCUGUGCCAGCCGCCGCAGUAACAC
rnacentral:rRNA from 1 species